AUUGAACGCUGGCGGCAUGCCUUACACAUGCAAGUCGAACGGCAGCGGACCUUCGGGUGCCGGCGAGUGGCGAACGGGUGAGUAAUAUAUCGGAACGUACCUUUCAGUGGGGGAUAACGUAGCGAAAGUUACGCUAAUACCGCAUAUUCUGUGAGCAGGAAAGCAGGGGAUCGCAAGACCUUGCGCUGAUUGAGCGGCCGAUAUCAGAUUAGCUAGUUGGUGAGGUAAAGGACUCACCAAGGCGACGAUCUGUAGCGGGUCUGAGAGGAUGAUCCGCCACACUGGAACUGAGACACGGUCCAGACUCCUACGGGAGGCAGCAGU
rnacentral:rRNA from 1 species